UCUCUGACAUCCUUUUUGUUUAGCUUUCUCUAGCAACGUACUAAUCCACCUGUGGCUCACAUAACGGGUAAGAGUGAGGCUUGAGUGAGAGCGUCUCACGCUAAUUUAUUGUGAGAUAUCAAAAGUGAGUUUAAAGCCACCCUUAGAAUAGAUAGUCACCUUAGUCUCACAAUAAGCUAUUCUGAUAUUGUCUUUCAAGACUUUACCAUUCAGGAAAUGAAUAGACAUACUCAUACCGAGUGACUUGUGCUGGUUGACUUUCCCUCUUCUCUUUCAGUGGUUUCUCCUAGAUGUAAAUAAUGGGUAAUAUUAUGAACGCCCCAAUUGUUUGGAUUUGAAUUAUGAUUGAAUUAUACACAUUAAAUAACUUCUCCAUGUGAGAAAAAGGCCUCUUAUCAAGAGAACUAGUUUUCAGCACAUGAGCGAGUUACAAUUUUAGGCUCACGUGGAAAUGAAUCAUAUUCUAAAGUCGCACAAGAUAUGAUAAAUUAAAUCUGGAAUGCUUGACGGGGUAACAUUUUAACAGGAAAUAGAAAUACGAAAGAGGAACCAACAUCCUUAAGCCCACUAAAAGUCAUAAAAGCGUAACUCACAUUUUUUGGCAAGAAACAAAGAUAUUGGAUAAAGUAAUGUCUUUAAGUACAUAACAAGCCAAAGUACAUAUGAAGGUUGAUAUACAGCCUUAUCAUAAUUAUGGAUCUUCAUAUGUAAAGCUUUCACCAAACUCUAGAUAAAUAUGGCCUGCAUAUAACAGGAACUGAUCUUUUAUUUUACUGGAAGAAGUAUAUUAGGUCAUUUAGAUGCACAAAGUUAAUGUACAUAUAGUAUAUAUGUAAAACUGAAUAGAUGCACCAGGGAACAUUUUUGUUAUUUAGAACCUAAAGGUUCCUUGCCUCCAUAUGUCAUGCAGUAUUAGUGGGGUUUCCAUUGUACAAACAAAAUUAGUUGGACUAGCCCACUUCUUCGUAGGUUAUAUAUUCACAUAUGUAGCUUUCUUGAUUGCCUCUUCAUCGGACAACUUUUGUUUAGGAAGAAUACCUAUAUGAUCAAGAAAAAGAAAUAAAGAUAAAUGAAAGGUAGUAGAAAUUUUUUCCAUGUGAUUAGGAAAGAAUAUUGAGCAUGGUAUCAGCACUCCCACUGCUCCCCAUCCUAGACUAUCCACUAUCACAACCACCAAAACUCUCCCAACUUGUACUUGGCCCACCAGGAAAAAAAAACCACCACUCCAAUGACCCAACCACCAACCACCAACCACCAACCACCAACCACCAACCACCAACCACCAACCACCAACCACCAACCACCAACCACCAACCACCAACCACCAACCACCAACCACCAACCAUCACCCACCACCGUCUUUUCACCAUGACCAUUGACCACCACCACCACAUAAAAAGAAAAAAAAAAUCCACCUCACUAUGAUAGCCACCAUAACCAUUGACCUGCCAUAAAUAAUAAUAAAAGGUUCCCUUGAAACCACUACAGUUGACCACCAUCCGGCCACAACCUCGACAGCUAUGCAAUCAAGCAUCAUGAACCCUAAAUUCCACACAUAUAGAUGAUUGAUAAUUGAUAUCGUAAGAGAGAGAGAGAUACCCAGAGAUUGAGAAAGGACAUCGAGAGAGAUAGGAGCUCGAGAAAAAGAAAUUAGAUCGAUAGAGAAAUAAGGGAUUGUGAUUCAAGAGAGAAAAGAAAGUUCUAGAAAGAGGAAAAUAUAAGUGCUAACUAUUGCAGAUGGUUGGUGGUGGACCAAAUCAUUAGAUGUGGGAAGAGAAAGAGCCAAACAUCCCUGAUUUUCCCAUGUUGUUCCCAUCAAAGAUGAGAGGUGGUCUAGGUGAAGGAUGGGAUUGAUGGUAAUCUUGCGGGUGGAGGAUUUAAAUGGUGGUGGGUUGGAGAUGAUGACAUGUGUCUCGAAUUAACAUAGCUUAAGCAUCAUUAAUGGCAGAAAAUGAGAAAAUAAGGAAGAAGAAGAUUGAUUGAUAAACUGAAUAUACAACAAAAUGUAAAGAUAUUCAAGCUUUCGAGAGGCUUGAUUUCCUCCCAAACUAGUAUUUGGGCCCGGGCAUUACCCCGGGUUGAUAUUGCUUUCCGAACUUGAUAUGCAUUUUUUCUCAUUCCCAUUAAAAUAUAUUAAGGCAAACUCAACAUCCAAAAGGUACAAAUAUAAUAAUGUGGACACUUAAAAUAUGAUUAAAAGUUGGUUGAGAUGGUAAUUGUGUCAUGUAUAAUAGCAAGAGGUCACGGGUUCAAAUCUUGUUGCAAGGUUAUUUUACUUUUGUUAAUUGACAUGACUUGUGUAUAGAUUGGACAAUUCUAGUGGAGUAGCAGUGGCGCGUAUACAUUGUCACAUACGCCUUUUAAUAUAUUUGUAUAGAUAAACUCUUAAAAGGUCACCAAAAUUCCCAUCAAUAUUCAAAUAAUUUCUCUCUCCCUAAUCUAUUCUAUUUAUAGAGCUUCUUCCCUUCUAACCCUUUAACUUAUUCCUCAAGCUACCCUUAACGUACCUAAAUAACCCUUCCCUCUUUGCAUCAGUCACUUACAAUUAAUUGUAUACUCCCUCAAAACCUGGUUUUUGUUGAACUUCACUAUUAAAAUUGGUGAUUUGACCAUAAUGCUUGUGUUAAAUAUAAGAACUAUUUUGCAAGCGCUGAAAAAGAUCAAAAGAUAAUCAAAUGCAACAUAAUACAUUCCUCAAGUACCUGCACAAAAUUUAUAUUGUGGUUCAAAGAACUGCACAGCUUAAGAAUCCUAGAAAGAGAGAAGAGAAUGGUAAAUUUUACUUGCUAAAUUGCAGAGUAGAAACAAUUUGAUGAAAUAAGGUUCACUUGUGGUUUGAUCUGGAGAAUGAGAGGAAAAAAUAUUCUUGUUCAAUAUCUAACUAUUCUUGAAAAACGUUGUCCAAAUGCAAAUGAAUGCAUAUACUGGGAAAUGGUGUACAAGAGAGUUUUUUUUUAAGAGACACCUUUUGCUAUUUUCCUCAGGUUCAUCAAACUUUGAGACUGUUUCGACAAGGGUAUUGUGAUGAACUAACAUCACUAGGACAUAUUAGAGAAGAAGAUUAAGAAGUAAAAUGGACUUGAUUGAUGAUUUUUUGAAAAACAAUAAAAUAGAAAUAGUGUUUACAAGCUUUCGAGAGGCUUGCUCUCUCCCAAAAGAACUCUUAAAAGUUCACCCAAAAUACUACUCAAUAUUCAACAUGAUUUCUCUCUCCAUAUUCUAUUCUAUUUAUAGAGAUAUUUCCUCCCUAACUUAUUCUUCAAGCUACAAAUAAAACUAACUAAUUAUAUAAUACCAAAAGGGCCCCUCCCUAGACUAGUCUAUUACAGGUAUCCACUAGUUUUGAUUAUCGAGUUAAUCAAUUGUUGGGAUUAUUUUGAGAAGGUAAGCAAAGUUGUAAUUAUUGGUAUUGAUUUUUCCUAAAUAGAAUGAGUUUGAGGAAAAUGGCCAUGUAGUGAAAAUGGAAGAGAACGAGUGGAGGGGGGGGAUUUAAAAUCGAGAAUGAAGUUUGCUGGGAAGGGGAAACACAGAAAAAUGAACACUGAAAUUUUGCCGGGAAGGAGAGGGGAAAUUGCCAGGGAAGAAGAGGGACAAAAGGAAAAAAAAAAUAUGUACAAAAAAAAAGAUAAAAAAAAAUAAGCAGAAGAAAGAGG